CGGGGGCAACCCUGGUGGCGAGUGGCGAACGGGUGACUAAUACAUCGGAACGUGCCCAGUCGUGGGGGAUAACGUAGCGAAAGCUACGCUAAUACCGCAUACGAACUCUGGUUGAAAGCGGGGGAUCGCAAGACCUCGCGCGAUUGGAGCGGCCGAUGGCAGAUUAGGUAGUUGGUGGGGUAAAGGCCUACCAAGCCGACGAUCUGUAGCUGGUCUGAGAGGACGACCAGCCACACUGGGACUGAGACACGGCCCAAACUCCUACGGGAGGCAGCAGUGGGGAAUUUUGGACAAUGGGCGCAAGCCUGAUCCAGCCAUUCCGCGUGCAGGAUGAAGGCCCUCGGGUUGUAAACUGCUUUUGUACGGAACGAAAAGGCCUGAGUUAAUACCUCGGGCUCAUGACGGUACCGUAAGAAUAAGCACCGGCUAACUACGUGCCAGCAGCCGCGGUAAUACGUAGGGUGCAAGCGUUAAUCGGAAUUACUGGGCGUAAGCGUGCGCAGGCGGUGAUGUAAGACAGGUGUGAAUCCCCGGGCUUAACCUGGGAACUGCAUUUGUGACUGCAUCGCUGAUGCGGCAAGGGAUGAAUUCCCGUG
rnacentral:rRNA from 1 species